rnacentral:rRNA from 1 species
AUCCUGGCUCAGGAUGAACGCUGGCGGCGUGCCUAACACAUGCAAGUCGAACGAGGCAAAUAAGUUGAAGUUUUCGGAUGGAUUCUUAUUUACCGAGUGGCGGACGGGUGAGUAACGCGUGGGUAACCUGCCUCAUACAGGGGGAUAACGGUUAGAAAUGACUGCUAAUACCGCAUAAGCGCACAGUACCGCAUGGUACGGUGUGAAAAACUCCGGUGGUAUGAGAUGGACCCGCGUCUGAUUAGCUAGUUGGUGAGGUAACGGCCCACCAAGGCGACGAUCAGUAGCCGACCUGAGAGGGUGACCGGCCACAUUGGGACUGAGACACGGCCCAGACUCCUACGGGAGGCAGCAGUGGGGGAUAUUGCACAAUGGAGGAAACUCUGAUGCAGCGACGCCGCGUGAGUGAAGAAGUAUUUCGGUAUGUAAAGCUCUAUCAGCAGGGAAGAAAAUGACGGUACCUGACUAGGAAGCCCCGGCUAACUACGUGCCAGCAGCCGCGGUAAUACGUAGGGGGCAAGCGUUAUCCGGAUUUACUGGGUGUAAAGGGAGCGUAGACGGCGACGCAAGUCUGAAGUGAAAUACCCGGGCUCAACCUGGGAACUGCUUUGAAAACUGUGUUGCUAGAGUGCUGGAGAGGUAGGCGGAAUUCCCUGUGUAGCGGUGGAAUGCGUAGAUAUCGGGAGGAACACCAGUGGCGAAGGCGGCCUACUGGGCACCAACUGACGCUGAGGCUCGAAAGUGUGGGUAGCAAACAGGAUUAGAUACCCUGGUAGUCCACACUGUAAACGAUGAUUACUAGGUGUUGGAGGAUUGACCCCUUCAGUGCCGCAGUUGACACAAUAAGUAAUCCACCUGGGGAGUACGACCGCAAGGUUGAAACUCAAAGGAAUUGACGGGGGCCCGCACAAGCAGUGGAGUAUGUGGUUUAAUUCGACGCAACGCGAAGAACCUUACCAAGUCUUGACAUCCCUUGACGAACAUAGAAAUAUGUUUUCUCUUCGGAGCAAGGAGACAGGUGGUGCAUGGUUGCCGUCAGCUCGUGUCGUGAGAUGUUGGGUUAAGUCCCGCAACGAGCGCAACCCUUAUGGUCAGUUACUACGCAAGAGGACUCUGGCCAGACUGCCGUUGACAAAACGGAGGAAGGUGGGGAUGACGACAAAUCGUCAUGCCCUCUAUGACUUGGGCUACACACGUACUACAAUGGCGUUAAACAAAGAGAAGCGAGACCGCGAGGUGGAGCAAAACUCAGAAACAACGUCCCAGUUCGGACUGCAGGCUGCAACUCGCCUGCACGAAGUCGGAAUUGCUAGUAAUCGUGGAUCAGCAUGCCACGGUGAAUACGUUCCCGGGCCUUGUACACACCGCCCGUCACACCAUGAGAGCCGGGGGGACCCGAAGUCGGUAGUCUAACCGCAAGGAGGACGCCGCCGAAGGUAAAACUGGUGAUUGGGGUGAAGUCGUAACAAGGUA